AUCAGUAGUCCUACUGUGCGCUCAAAACAAAACAAGAAGCAAUGGCAAGUUCAAGAAAAACUGUGUUCUGUGGAAGCCACCAAAGUCACAAGAAGGUCCUCAGUGAUGAUGCCAUUGAGUUGGACAAUGAAUUGGUGGGUUCCUAUUAGUUAAUCUUUGAUUAUUUUGAUCUUGAUUUAACAGCAGUUGAUAAUAAUGCUUUAUUGUUUUGUGUUUUAAUGUCAAAACAAUGACUUCUGUGUUUUGCUUAUGGGACUCUCGUGUUUUGACUUUGUG
rnacentral:lncRNA from 1 species